rnacentral:sRNA from 23 species
AAAGAUCGAUACCGAGGGGGGCGAUGAUGCCCCGGACGAAUUCCUGCUCUGGCAGGCAGUCCGUACCCAGUACUGGCUGAAACUCCCUAUACCUCAACAAGUUGCCACUCCGGCGUGAAGGUAUCGUUCU